AAAGUAUACUCAAUUUAUUUUAAUAGACUUUUUUCCAAGUUCUUUUAUACAAUUCUGCUAUUUUGUCCUAUAGAUCGCCUCAACGAACACUCACUACAGAAGAAUUCUUUAGACUUGCACGAUCCCAUCCAUCAUGGAUCCAUCCUGCUGAUUCAGCAAAUGACCACCUCACACCUGCUUUCUUUGGCAUUUAUAUUCGAUCCAUAACUUUCUAACCAUUAAUAUAAUGCUGAAUUCAUGAAUGUUAACAAUCGAUUUCUAAUAAGAAUAGCCAAUCUAUCAAAGUUAAAAGCUCUGGUCAGUUUAAUGGAUUUUCGCUAGUGCAUCAUAGCCUUGAUAUUUCUAAGGUUUCCAUUGGUUGUAAGUUUCUUUCAACUCUUCGUAAAGAACAGUUGUUAGCUAGCUAAUUGAGUGUCUGAAUUUUUUUUUGUUAAUGGGUUCUUAAAAUUGAUGUAUAUGUCCAUUCAUCUUUAUAUAUUUUAUGUACAUGAACUAUUUACAACGCAUUUUGGCAAACCAUGUGUAAACAUUUAUUUUUCUAGUUAGGGGAAGAUGAAGCAGGACUUUUCUUCUUUAAUGUCUUCAAUCUUCCAAUAGUUUAUAAAGAAAGCUUUUUGACAUUGUUUCUUUUUAAAGCGAGGGAAUACCUUUUAUGGCCCUGCCACCGUCUAUAACGUGAUUUGUUUGUUUCGCUAAACGCUCUUAGGAAAACGGAGCUAUCAGAGUGACAUAUAUGACUUAACGAAGCUGUGUAUGGCUCAUGAUCACUAUUUAGAAUUGAAUGAAAACAACCAAUGUCAAUCACAGUGUCGAAAUGCCCCUUGAAUUCAUUUAAUCUUGAAAAAUCGCGUUGAUUAAAGUUGACAUUACUUUUUUCACUAGAUGUUUUAUCGAUUGCUUUAGAAAUAGCCCUUUCGGAAAUAUCAAUACCCACGACUUUAUAUCCAAGACUGGCUAAAUAUCUAGCAUUUCUAUUUGGUUCACAACCGGCAUCUAAUACAUUCUCAUGUAAUUUCCCCAGUUGUACAAGAUUCAUGAUCUAUUCGUCUGGUUUCUCAUUAUCAAAUGGUGUUGCGGGAUCUUCAUACAUAUUUUCCCAAACUAUUUUUUACUUCAGAGAUAUAUUUCUUCAUUGUUCUUAAUGAUAUAUAAAAAAUGGUGAAAUAUUUAUUUAUUGCCCCAUCAUGUUUAUUUUUAUAUCCUUCUUUCUCUGUCAGGAAAUCUAUUUCCGAGCUGACGAUAAAAAAACAUGUUGCAAGUCGCCGAAACUACCUCGGCUUUUAUUACUAUGUCCGAAAAGUGCGCGAAAUAUUGGAAUGGCUUGUAAAUUAUGCAUUUAAUCAAAUAAAGUGAUAGUAAGCGCAAAGUGUAUGACUCAAUGAAAAUCGGGUGUAUCAACUACUCAGUUGUUUACCAUACAAUGUAUUGUAAAUUAUG
rnacentral:lncRNA from 1 species